rnacentral:rRNA from 1 species
AUUGAACGCUGGCGGCAUGCUUUACACAUGCAAGUCGAACGGUAACAGGCCGCAAGGUGCUGACGAGUGGCGAACGGGUGAGUAAUGCAUCGGAACGUGCCCAGUCGUGGGGGAUAACGCAGCGAAAGCUGUGCUAAUACCGCAUACGAUCUAUGGAUGAAAGCGGGGGACCGUAAGGCCUCGCGCGAUUGGAGCGGCCGAUGUCAGAUUAGGUAGUUGGUGGGGUAAAGGCCCACCAAGCCAACGAUCUGUAGCUGGUCUGAGAGGACGACCAGCCACACUGGGACUGAGACACGGCCCAGACUCCUACGGGAGGCAGCAGUGGGGAAUUUUGGACAAUGGGCGCAAGCCUGAUCCAGCAAUGCCGCGUGCAGGAAGAAGGCCUUCGGGUUGUAAACUGCUUUUGUACGGAACGAAACGGUCUGGGUUAAUACCCUGGGCUAAUGACGGUACCGUAAGAAUAAGCACCGGCUAACUACGUGCCAGCAGCCGCCGUAA